rnacentral:rRNA from 1 species
GAUGAACGCUGGCGGCGUGCCUAAUACAUGCAAGUCGAGCGAACGGACGAGAAGCUUGCCUCUCUGAUGUUAGCGGCGGACGGGUGAGUAACACGUGGAUAACCUACCUAUAAGACUGGGAUAACUUCGGGAAACCGGAGCUAAUACCGGAUAAUAUUUUGAACCGCAUGGUUCAAAAGUGAAAGACGGUCUUGCUGUCACUUAUAGAUGGAUCCGCGCUGCAUUAGCUAGUUGGUAAGGUAACGGCUUACCAAGGCAACGAUGAAUAGCCGACCUGAGAGGGUGAUCGGCCACACUGGAACUGAGACACGGUCCAGACUCCUACGGGAGGCAGCAGUAGGGAAUCUUCCGCAAUGAGCGAAAGCCUGACGGAGCAACGCCGCGUGAGUGAUGAAGGUCUUCGGAUCGUAAAACUCUGUUAUUAGGGAAGAACAUAUGUGUAAGUAACUGUGCACAUCUUGACGGUACCUAAUCAGAAAGCCACGGCUAACUACGUG